ACUCCGCUUGAUCCUGGCGGACCCAACUGCUAUCGGGGUGAGACUAAGCCAUGCGAGUUGCGCGUCCCCAGGCCACGUUGGGGGCGCAGCAUACGGCUCAGUAACAUGUGGCUAACCUACCCUCGGGACGGAAAUAACCCCGGGAAACUGGGGCUAAUUUCCGAUAGAUGAGGAGGUCUGGAAUGACUCUUCGUCCAAAAGACGUUGGGAACAUGCCUCUCAACGUCGCCCGAGGAUGGGGCCGCAUCCGAUCAGGUUGUUGGUGAGGUAACGGCUCACCAAGCCUAUAACCGGUACGGGCCGUGAGAGCGGGAGCCCGGAGAUGGGCACUGAGACAAGGGCCCAGGCCCUACGGGGCGCAGCAGGCGCGAAACCUCCGCAAUGCGCGAAAGCGUGACGGGGUCACCCCGAGUGCCACCCGCUGAGGGUGGCUUUUGCCCGGUGUAACCAGCCGGGUGAAUAAGGGGAGGGCAAGUCUGGUGUCAGCCGCCGCGGUAAUACCAGCUCCUCGAGUGGUUGGGACGAUUAUUGGGUCUAAAGCGUCCGUAGCCGGCCGGAAAAGUUCUCCGUUAAAUCCAACGAUCCAAUCGUUGGGCUGCGGAGAAUACUCUCCGGCUUGGGGGCGGGGGAGGUCGGCGGUAGUCCCGGGGUAGGGGCGAAAUCCUAUAAUCCCGGGAGGACCACCAGUGGCGAAGGCGGCCGACUAAAACGCGCCCGACGGUGAGGGACGAAAGCUGGGGGAGCGAACGGGAUUAGAUAUGGAUGGAGAAGCGAACCAACCCUGACCUACACAUUUAACCUUCAACAAAUCUCUGAGGCGGUUCGCAUGUUUCUUACCGCGCAUUCAGAGACUCCAUAUGCUAGUCAAUCUUAACAUUAACAAAUCCUCCUCAACACACCUAUACAGAGAGUUGAAGUAUUCUUUGUAUGAGAAAACUGUUAGACGUUUAAUGUUAAUCGAGGUUCAGGGUGCGCUUCAAAAUCCACUAAAGACCCCGGUAGUCCCAGCUGUAAACGAUGCAGGCUAGGUGUCGGGAUGGCUACGGGCCACCCCGGUGCCGCAGGGAAGCCAUUAAGCCUGCCACCUGGGAAGUACGGCCGCAAGGCUGAAACUUAAAGGAAUUGGCGGGGGAGCACCACAAGGGGUGAAGCUUGCGGUUUAAUUGGAGUCAACACCGGGAAUCUUACCAGGAGCGACAGCUGGAUGAAGGUCAGAUUAAAGGUCUUACCGGACUAGCUGAGAGGAGGCGCAUGGCCGUCGCCAGUUCGUGCCGUGAGGUGUUCUCUUAAGUGAGACAACGAACGAGACCCGUGCUCCUAGUUGCCAUCGGAUUCCAAAAGGAAUCCAGGCACACUAGGGGGACUGCCUCCGCUAAGGAGGAGGAAGGAGCGGGCCACGGCAGGUCAGUAUGCCCCUAAUCUCCUGGGCCACACGCGAGCUGCAAUGGCUGGGACAAUGGGUUCCGACCCCGAGAGGGGAAGGCAAUCCCUAAACCCAGCCUCAGUUGGGAUCGAGGGCUGUAACUCGCCCUCGUGAACAUGGAAUCCCUAGUAACCGCGCGUCAUCAUCGCGCGGUGAAUACGUCCCUGCUCCUUGCACACACCGCCCGUCGCUCCACCUGAGUUUGGUUUAGGUGAGGCACAGUCUAGUUGGCUGUUUCGAACCUAAGCUAGACAAGGGGGGAGAAGUCGUAACAAGGUGGCCGUAGGGGAACCUGCGGCCGGAUCACCUCCU
rnacentral:rRNA from 1 species